rnacentral:rRNA from 1 species
UACGUAGGGGGCUAGCGUUGUCCGGAAUCAUUGGGCGUAAAGCGCGUGUAGGCGGCCCGGUAAGUCCGCUGUGAAAGUCGGGGGCUCAACCCUCGGAUGCCGGUGGAUACUGUCGGGCUUGAGUGCGGGAGAGGCGAGUGGAAUUCCUGGUGUAGCGGUGAAAUGCGCAGAUAUCAGGAGGAACACCGAUUGCGAAGGCAGCUCGCUGGAACGUUACUGACGCUGAGACGCGAAAGCGUGGGGAGCAAACAGG